ACAGCCCUGCCGGCGCGGAAGACAAGGUGCGGGCCCUGCAGCAACCCCCGCCCGCCGCCGUCCUCUCCGUGGGCCCGGACAGCCCGCCAGCCCCGCCCCGCCGCACCCCCGGGCCCCGCAGACCGCGCGCCUCACCCGCGGCGUCGCAGUGCGUGGGUUGGGGCAGCGACCAACGGUCGGCAGCUCCACCGUGCCCACUCCCCGGGCCUGGCGAGGACGCCGGAAGCGCUCUCCCGCCAGGAAGGCCGCGUGGGUGAGCGAGGCAUCCAGCACAGGGCCUGGCACAGAAUAAAUGCUUUGGGGCGCCUGACACUGAUCACACUACCCCUGCCCUCCUGAGGCUCCACAUCUAUGUAUCCCAUGGAAACCAGAGUCACAAAUGGAGACAGAUUCAGAGACUCAGCCUGAAAGGAGACAGAAGAGGCCGAGAGCUACAGGUUGCAUGGCCCAGGAUGGCAAAGACUCCACGGUUAAUAUCACAGCAGCUGGACAGAGACAAGAGCAGAGUCAGGCAUCCUGGGCUGGCAGCUGCCUGUUGGGACUACACAGCCCCAAGCCAGCUCCCUGUCUCCCUAGGCAGAACACACGUUGGCAGAGACACUUGCUUUCUCCUCUGGCUGUUUCAAGCACUGGCCUAAGAGGUGGGGACUUGGGAGGAAGAGAACUGACAUUGCGGAGCCCAAGGAAGCGACCAGAGGAAGCUAAGUCCCCGGAGGAAGUCAUGAGGACCACACUUUCCAGCUCCCCCAUCCUCUUCUUUCAGCCCCAAAUCCCACGAUCCACUGGAAACAUGAGCACUUGGAUUGCUGGAAGGCCCAUUAACAUUCAGCUCAUACAAAACUGGCUUUGCAGCCAGGUGCGGUGGCUCACACCUGUAAUCCCAACACUUUGGGAAGCUGAGGCAGGCGGAUCACCUGAGGUUAGGCAUUCAAGACCAGCCAGGCCAACAAUGCGAAACCCUGUCUCUACCAAAAAUACAAAAAAAAAUUAGCCAGGUGUGGUGGCGUGCACAUGUAAUCCCAGCUACUUGGGAGGCUGAGGCAGAAGAAUCACUUGAACCCAGGAGGCAGAGGUUGCAGUGAGCCGAGAUGGCACCACUGCACUCUAGCUUGUCAGAGUGAGACUCUGUCUCAAAAAAACAAAACAAAAUUGGCUUUGCAGACAGGACACUGGGCCCCAGAGUCCACCCAUCCUCCAAGGCCCAGACCAAACUCCCCCAUCUCCAUGACACAUUUUCCAAGUCCUCGGGGCCUGUAACCCAUAGUUAGCAAUCAGAUGCCUCCUGUCACGCAUUGUCUAAUAACUGCUUUGAACAUUUCCAACUUGGAAAUCAAGUCCCUGGAGGAAGAGCCCCAGGUCACGGUGCUGAAUGCACCCUACAGCGGGUCCUCCAGGAUUCUGGCUGGCAAGCCCCAGCCCUUUCCCUCCUCCCUCCCAUCCUCAAUCCCACACUGCUCCCUGCUUGCCUGUGUCCUGAAAGCCCAGGCCUCGAUGUUUCCCAUUUGUAGCCUCAGCAUUCGCCACACCAUCCUUCUGAGGACCAAGAAAGAAAACCUGAGCCUCUGGCCCCGGCUUCCCACCCCAACCCUGUCAUCUGGUGGGGUCAACAGGACAAGUUUUCCUAACCCAGCAGGGGAGGGAAUUUAUGUCAGUCCCAGUGGUUCUACCAUCCCUUGGCCAACCAGGCAAGAGUGACCCAUGCCCCAGUAAGAAAUCUGGAUGCAUCAGCGUGGGCUGACUUAGGAGCUCAUGGAGUUGCCCCUCAAAGGAAUCUCCUUUUCUCCUGCCUUUUUCAUCUUUGGUAGGCGGCCCUGCUGCCUCCCAGCAGGUGACCACAUGGCCAAGAGGCUGCUCCCCCUCUGAAGGUCUCACCUUACCCUUCUGGGACUCCAGGAACAUCUAAAAGGGAACCCAAACUGCUGUAGUCAUCAAGCCCCUGAGGACUGUCCCAACUGGGGUUCCCCCUAAGCUGGAUCCUAACACUAGGGGGCUCAAAACUGCUUGCUGUCAGCCUCCAGCUCCCAAGAGGAGUCCCUGAGGGAAGACAUGCCUUCCUGCGGCCAGUCUUGCGGGGUCGUGGCUUGCUCUUGGUGAAGCAGAUGUUGUGCUUGGUGGACUUAAAGGACUCCAGCCGCCGCUUCAUGUUCUGCUGGAAGACCUCCUUGUCCUGCCGCUCCUGCGCAUCCUCUGAGAUGAAGUGGCGACUGCAGCUGGCUUUGUACUGGCAAUGACAGCCCCGCCUGGCUAUGAGGAUGGAUGCCUUGGCCUCCCACAAGAACCCCAGGCCACAGCCCCAACAUAUUCACCACAGGACCUGCCAGCCCAGCUUUUCCAGAAUUAACAAUGGAUUGAAAAACAAAACAAAAAAUACAACAGGAACCCAGCCAGAGACCCUGUGUUCUCAGUUCCCUGGGAAAAGCUUCCCUUUAUCCCAGAACUUAUUCCCCCAAACCUGGCCUUCCCCAACCCUUGCCAUCCUUUCCCGAUUCUCUCUGGUUUGAAGGUGACCCUCUGUCUUGUUCUACUACUGUGACAACAUGGGGGACAUUUUCUUUGUACCUCCAUUUAUCUGAGCUUCGCCCACACACCCAGCCUACCUGCCCCCUUCUAGCUACACAGGAUCCUUUCUCCAGCUGGAAUCUCCUAUCUAGCCAUUUCUACAAGAACCACCAUGAUAUCCUGGGCUGCACUUUGAACUUUCAUAACUAUCUCCCCUGACACCCUGGACCUUCUCAGUCCCAAUAAUUCAGGAUCACCCCCAUCAUCUGCUUUUUUUUUUCUUUUUUUUGAGACGGAGUUUUGCUCUUGUCACCCAGGCUGGAGUGCAAUGGCACGAUCUCUGCUCACUGCAACCCCCGCCUCUGGGGUUCAAGCAAUUCUCCUGCCUCAGCCUCCCGAGUAGCUGGGAUUACAGGUGCCUGCCAUCACACCCGGCCAAUUUUUGUAUUUUUAGUAGAGACAGGGUUUCACCAUGUUGCCAGGCUAGUCUCGAACUCCUGACCUCAAGUGAUCUGCCUGCCUUGGCCUCCCAAAGUCCUGGGAUUACAGGCAUGAGCCACUGCGCCUGGCCAUGCUCUUUUUAACUCUUAUCAACACCAAGCCCGCUACACACUCACCUAGACUGCCUCUGCCUCUACCCUCCUUGCUUAGCACCUUUUCAUCAUCUAGUGGUAAUCCCCUGAAAUGCUUCCCAGUGCCUGCCAAAUCAUCUUAUCUUGCCUCAAAUCCCAAGUCUGGUCCCUUUAUCUCAUAUUUUCUGCUUCCCUGAACCAGUUCUAAGAGCCCCCUUCAAGUCUUCCAUCUGCCCUCCUCAUCUACCUAUGCACCAGGAGGUACCCUCUCUCCUGGGGAGAAGGGGUCCAUCUCCUUCACAAGGCUCAUUGCUGCCCAGCCCCGGCCUCCACAUUGCUCAGUUCCCUCCUUCCUGCCUCCAGCAGUUCCUGCUGCCUCCUAUUCCUCCACUCUCCUGUAUCUUCACUCCUUACCUCACCACUUGGCUCCCUCCCCUCUGUUUUCAAGCUCCUGCCCUUGCCUCCUUAAAGAAAGUCUUCCCUUGAACACCAUUGUCUCCCUUUUGCUGCUACACUUUUAUAAUUUGAUUCUGACACUUUCUCUCCUACCCACUAUUUCCUUAAAAACCAGAAAUGCAACUCCAGGGUCCACAACUCCACAGUGCUGCCUUCUUGCUGGUCACCAGUGCUGUGGGCUCUGCCUAGGUGCUGGCCAGGCCUCUGCGCAGCAUCCAGCCCUCUUUCUGCCCCAGGCCUGAGGCACCACCUGCCACUGCUUCUCCAAGGGUUCCUUGUCUUUGGCUCUCUUUCCUUUUCUCCCAUGCGCACUCCUCAGUGUUAUCCUUAGCCCUCCUCCCGCCCCAUGAAACACUCUCCUCAGAGAACUUAUCCAUUCUCUCUGCCCCAGCUAUCCCAGUGAUACAGAUCUGUGGUCCCCCAACAUCAGUCAUCAGACCAGCUGCAUUUGAAUCACCUGGGGAACUUAGUAAGAACACAGAUUCUUAGUCCCACUCCAGACUACAGAAUCAGAAUCUCCAGGUGAAGCCAGGAAGUUCCCCAGGGGAUUCUGUGGUAGCCAGGUGACAAAACCUGAUACAGAUUGCUUCCAAAUUUCUCUCCAGCCCUUAUCUCUCUAUUAAACUAUAAUCUUAUCUUUCUAACUGAAAA